UUCAGAAUGAAGGGUAAAAUUUCUCCAGACUUGGUUGGUCUUGUUCUUUUGUUGAUAUUAGUAGAGAUGUAAUAGAAAUCUGAUUCUAAUUUUAAUUUGUCAAAUUUCUACCCUACUUGGACAUGUUGGCUGCCUGUGAGUUGUGACAGAUGAUUGUCUUAACACCACACUUCCAUGAGACUCUAAAAUAGUCUAUACUAGUAACUUGCUAAGCAAGAAUAUAAUGCAAUCCUUGGAUCUUAAGGUGACCUUUGGGAAUACAUUGUUGCAUGUAUACUGUUUGCUCUUGAUCUGACAUUGUUUUAUUGAAGUUUGGGGCAUUAAAAGGAAAUGUUACUCAGCAUAUUGAUGUUUCCACUGUGAUUGCUUGCCAAAAAGAAGGAAUGAUCAGCUUUACCAUUUCUAUUAUCUGCUACACUUGGCAAUUAGGCUUCUUCUUUCUUGGAAAUUAAAGUUUAUAUACAAGUUUUUCCUCAUUUGACAUCUACUGGAACCAGUAGCCCAUGAAUUUCUUAGACUCUCAUAGAGUAUCUGCUAUUUUGUUA